rnacentral:piRNA from 1 species
UGCGCUGUGUAACACAGAUUCUCCUCUGCGC